rnacentral:rRNA from 1 species
GGGUUGUGAGGUUAAGCGACUAAGCGUACACGGUGGAUGCCCUGGCAGUCAGAGGCGAUGAAGGACGUGCUAAUCUGCGAUAAGCGUCGGUAAGGUGAUAUGAACCGUUAUAACCGGCGAUUUCCGAAUGGGGAAACCCAGUGUGAUUCGUCACACUAUCAUUAACUGAAUCCAUAGGUUAAUGAGGCGAACCGGGGGAACUGAAACAUCUAAGUACCCCGAGGAAAAGAAAUCAACCGAGAUUCCCCCAGUAGCGGCGAGCGAACGGGGAGCAGCCCAGAGCCUGAAUCAGUGUGUGUGUUAGUGGAAGCGUCUGGAAAGGCGCGCGAUACAGGGUGACAGCCCCGUACACAAAAAUGCACAUGCUGUGAGCUCGAUGAGUAGGGCGGGACACGUGGUAUCCUGUCUGAAUAUGGGGGGACCAUCCUCCAAGGCUAAAUACUCCUGACUGACCGAUAGUGAACCAGUACCGUGAGGGAAAGGCGAAAAGAACCCCGGCGAGGGGAGUGAAAAAGAACCUGAAACCGUGUACGUACAAGCAGUGGGAGCACGCUUAGGCGUGUGACUGCGUACCUUUUGUAUAAUGGGUCAGCGACUUAUAUUCUGUAGCAAGGUUAACCGAAUAGGGGAGCCGAAGGGAAACCGAGUCUUAACUGGGCGUUAAGUUGCAGGGUAUAGACCCGAAACCCGGUGAUCUAGCCAUGGGCAGGUUGAAGGUUGGGUAACACUAACUGGAGGACCGAACCGACUAAUGUUGAAAAAUUAGCGGAUGACUUGUGGCUGGGGGUGAAAGGCCAAUCAAACCGGGAGAUAGCUGGUUCUCCCCGAAAGCUAUUUAGGUAGCGCCUCGUGAAUUCAUCUCCGGGGGUAGAGCACUGUUUCGGCAAGGGGGUCAUCCCGACUUACCAACCCGAUGCAAACUGCGAAUACCGGAGAAUGUUAUCACGGGAGACACACGGCGGGUGCUAACGUCCGUCGUGAAGAGGGAAACAACCCAGACCGCCAGCUAAGGUCCCAAAGUCAUGGUUAAGUGGGAAACGAUGUGGGAAGGCCCAGACAGCCAGGAUGUUGGCUUAGAAGCAGCCAUCAUUUAAAGAAAGCGUAAUAGCUCACUGGUCGAGUCGGCCUGCGCGGAAGAUGUAACGGGGCUAAACCAUGCACCGAAGCUGCGGCAGCGACGCUGAUGCGUUGUUGGGUAGGGGAGCGUUCUGUAAGCCUGUGAAGGUGUGCUGUGAGGCAUGCUGGAGGUAUCAGAAGUGCGAAUGCUGACAUAAGUAACGAUAAAGCGGGUGAAAAGCCCGCUCGCCGGAAGACCAAGGGUUCCUGUCCAACGUUAAUCGGGGCAGGGUGAGUCGACCCCUAAGGCGAGGCCGAAAGGCGUAGUCGAUGGGAAACAGGUUAAUAUUCCUGUACUUGGUGUUACUGCGAAGGGGGGACGGA